CCUACGGGUGGCAGCAGUAGGGAAUUUUCCACAAUGGACGAAAGUCUGAUGGAGCAACGCCGCGUGCAGGAUGAAUGCCUUCGGGUUGUAAACUGCUUUUAUAUGUGACGAUUAUGACGGUAGCAUAUGAAUAAGGAUCGGCUAAUUCCGUGCCAGCAGCCGCGGUCAUACGGAAGAUCCAAGCGUUAUCCGGAAUUACUGGGCGUAAAGAGUUGCGUAGGUGGCAUAGUAAGCAGAUAGUGAAAUCCUGGGGCUCAACCCCUUACACAUUGUCUGAACUGCUAAGCUAGAGGGCGAGAGAGGUAGCUGGAAUUCCUAGUGUAGGAGUGAAAUCCGUAGAUAUUAGGAGGAACACCGAUGGCGUAGGCAGGCUACUGGCUCGUCCCUGACACUAAGGCACGAAAGCGUGGGGAGCGACCGGGAUUAGAUACCCUGGUAGU
rnacentral:rRNA from 1 species